rnacentral:ncRNA from 2 species
CACGAAAGACAGGGGUGCCUAUAAGCGGCUGAGAUCAUACCCUGAAACCUGAUACGGAUAAUACCGGCGAAGGGAGUCUGUUUUUCUUUUCA